rnacentral:rRNA from 1 species
CAGCAAACGCAUUAAGCACUCCGCCUGGGGAGUACGACCGCAAGGUUGAAACUCAAAGGAAUUGACGGGGGCCCGCACAAGCGGUGGAGCAUGUGGUUUAAUUCGAAGCAACGCGAAGAACCUUACCAGGUCUUGACAUCCUUUGACCACUCUAGAGAUAGAGCUUCCCCUUCGGGGGCAAAGUGACAGGUGGUGCAUGGUUGUCGUCAGCUCGUGUCGUGAGAUGUUGGGUUAAGUCCCGCAACGAGCGCAACCCUUAUUGUUAGUUGCCAUCAUUUAGUUGGGCACUCUAGCGAGACUGCCGGUGACAAACCGGAGGAAGGUGGGGAUGACGUCAAAUCAUCAUGCCCCUUAUGACCUGGGCUACACACGUGCUACAAUGGGAAGUACAACGAGUUGCGAAGUCGCGAGGCUAAGCUAAUCUCUUAAAGCUUCUCUCAGUUCGGAUUGUAGGCUGCAACUCGCCUACAUGAAGCCGGAAUCGCUAGUAAUCGCGGAUCAGCACGCCGCGGUGAAUACGUUCCCGGGCCUUGUACACAC